rnacentral:rRNA from 1 species
UACGGAGGGAGCUAGCGUUGUUCGGAAUUACUGGGCGUAAAGCGCACGUAGGCGGCUUUGUAAGUUAGAGGUGAAAGCCUGGAGCUCAACUCCAGAACUGCCUUUAAAACUGCAUCGCUUGAAUCCAGGAGAGGUGAGUGGAAUUCCGAGUGUAGAGGUGAAAUUCGUAGAUAUUCGGAAGAACACCAGUGGCGAAGGCGGCUGACUGGUCCGGUUCUGACGCUGAGGCGCGAAAGCGUGGGGAGCAAACAGG